AUGAAGUAGAAUUUUUGUACAAAAUAUUAUUAUUAUGAAAUUUUUGGAAAAGGGGUGCGACCCCGCCCACUUAUGGUGAAAUACUGUAUCUUAGUAGCUGCUUUAAAAUCCUUACCAAACUCUGUACGAGCCUUGCUUAGGAAGCAACUAAGAAAUUUGCUGAAAAUCAUUGAAAUUGGGCAAUAAAUAGCCACGCCCACCGCCCAUAUAACGGUAAUUUACAGAGGCAUGAAAACUGAAGCUAAUUGACUCAAAAUCGAUUAUUGAAAUUACCACUGAGAAAAAAAUUAGACUAUUAUAAAUUGUUGGAUUUUACGCGUGGCGCCGCCCACUUAUGACCACAAAUGUGUAUCUCGGUAACCGAUUUGUCAACUAUUACCAAACCUUGGUACGAAAAAGCAAUUCAUUGAAAAUAAUGCAAAUCCGAUUAAAUUGGCCCGGUUUCCCGUAUAACGGUAAUUUUCGGAUAUACGAAAACUCCUAUAUUUCAAUAAAUGACGUCGUUAAUUUACUCCAAGUUAAUACUUACAACAAUCUUUUAACAAUAAAUAAGACUGUUUUAUACUUUUAGGUAGUUUAACGAAAGUUGGAACGACAAUAGUUGAUAACUGCGUCGUGUAUAUAAAAUUCGGUUUCGACCGAACUUAUCUUCACUUGUUGGUAUGCAGAUUUAUAGCUUAUUAAAUGCUGGCAUAAUAAGUUUGAACGAGUACUUUCAAUUCAUUCAUUUAGUAUUCUGGCUCGGAAUCGUAAACAGCUAACAACAUAUAUAUAUAAGUACGGCAUUCUGAGAGUACAUUGAUCGACCAACAGCGGCCUGACCCUGUUUAGGUCCGUGAAUAUCUAAAACGUUGUUCGUCGAUGGGAAAAUAUCUCCUCCGCAUUCUUCCUCUUAGGGAUAGCAUAAUGUCAAACACACUCAAACUCGAUUUCAGUUAGGCGUUUUACCUGCAAAGGAUGGAGUCAUCUUAGAGCCUGCUCAAGCCUUAGAACUCACCGACAAUGGACCACGUUAUUUGUGACCUCGUGCUGUUCUAACCAAACAAAUAACAUGGCUGCCUCAGUGACGCACAACACACAUAACGCACCGGUCCUACCAAAUACCCAGACUGCCCCAAUGGACGACCGAAGGUCAACUGAGCGACGCAACCACAACAUGACCACCUUACAACAUAACACAACCACAAACCCACCUACACGCUGCGGCAACUCACGAGCGAGGACAAACCAACAGCGCCUAGUUUCUCAGACUUUAAGUUAGGUGUGUCGGUCCAGGAUAUACCGUAAUGCGAUAUCAGUCAGAUGCAAUUCCUGUUUUGGCUGGCGCCACUUGAGAAGGAACGAGCAACAACUUCCUUGUUGCAGUGCUGCACAAGCACUUCUGCGGUGCAGCCUACUACCACCACAAGGCGUGCUGCCAACAGCAUCAUACGGAACAAAUGUCCGGCAGGCAAUACCAUACCUCACUAACACCCCAUAUUGCGAUCAGUGUCCCAAGGCAUAAGAAAAUAUUACAAUUCAACUGUAAUGGACUCCUGAAUAAAAUCGAUACUCGAAUACUGAUAGUUGCGGUCCAAGAGACGAAGCUGCAUAGGAAUUCAACGUGGUUCAACUGUGCCAGAUAUAACCUGCGCCAUAAACACUAAGAUAACUCGAGGUCUUAACCAGAACCACCCUUGUGAGGACAGUCUUAGUAGCAUUGGAUAUGUCAUAGACGUUUGACAGAGUCUUCCUCUCCAUUCUA